UACGUAGGUGGCAAGCGUUGUCCGGAAUUAUUGGGCGUAAAGCGCGCGCAGGCGGUUAUGUAAGUCUGAUGUUAAAGCCCGGGGCUCAACCUCGGUUCGCAUUGGAAACUGUGUAACUUGAGUGCAGAAGAGGAAAGUGGUAUUCCACGUGUAGCGGUGAAAUGCGUAGAUAUGUGGAGGAACACCAGUGGCGAAGGCGACUUUCUGGUCUGUAACUGACGCUGAGGUGCGACAGCGUUGGGAGCAAACAGG
rnacentral:rRNA from 1 species